GUUGGUUCUAUGAUAGCUCAGUUGGUAGAGCAGGAGACUCUUAAUCCCAAGGUCAUGGGUUUGAGCCCCACUUCCUGCA